rnacentral:rRNA from 1 species
GGUUGAUCCUGCCGGAGGUCACUGCUAUCGGGGUUCGACUAAGCCAUGCGAGUCGAGAGGUGCAAGACCUCGGCGUACUGCUCAGUAACACGUGGAUAAUCUACCCUGAGGAGAGGGAUAACCCCGGGAAACUGGGGAUAAUACCUCAUAGGUUACGGAGGCUGGAAUGCCCUGUAACCCAAAGCUCCGGCGCCUCAGGAUGAGUCUGCGGCCGAUUAGGUUGUUGUUGGGGUAACGGCCCAACAAGCCGAUAAUCGGUACGGGUUGUGGGAGCAAGAGCCCGGAGAUGGAUUCUGAGACAUGAAUCCAGGCCCUACGGGGCGCAGCAGGCGCGAAAACUUUACAAUGCGAGCAAUCGUGAUAAGGGAACCCCGAGUGCCUGUACACGCAGGCUGUUCAGAUGUUUAAAACACAUCUGGAGAAAGGGCCGGGCAAGACCGGUGCCAGCCGCCGCGGUAAUACCGGCGGCUCGAGUGGUGGCCACUAUUACUGGGCUUAAAGCGUCCGUAGCUGGGUUGUUAAGUCUCCUGAGAAAUCUGCCGGCUUAACCGUCAGGCGUUCAGGAGAUACUGGCAAUCUCGGGACUGGGGGAGGUGAGAGGUACUCCGGGGGUAGGAGUGAAAUCCUGUAAUCCUCGGGGGACCACCUGUGGCGAAGGCGUCUCACCAGAACAGCUCCGACAGUGAGGGACGAAAGCUGGGGGAGCAAACCGGAUUAGAUACCCGGGUAGUCCCAGCUGUAAACGAUGCGCGUUAGGUGUGUCGGUAACCACGAGUUACCGAGGUGCCGUAGGGAAACUGCUAAACGCGCCGCCUGGGAAGUACGGCCGCAAGGCUGAAACUUAAAGGAAUUGGCGGGGGAGCACCACAACGGGUGGAGCCUGCGGUUUAAUUGGAKUCAACGCCGGR